rnacentral:rRNA from 1 species
AACGAACGCUGGCGGCAUGCCUAACACAUGCAAGUCGAACGAUGCCUUCGGGCAUAGUGGCGCACGGGUGCGUAACGCGUGGGAAUCUGCCUUUCGGUUCGGAAUAACUCAGGGAAACUUGAGCUAAUACCGGAUAACGUCGCACGACCAAAGAUUUAUCACCGAAAGAUGAGCCCGCGUAGGAUUAGCUAGUUGGUGAGGUAAAGGCUCACCAAGGCGACGAUCCUUAGCUGGUCUGAGAGGAUGAUCAGCCACACUGGGACUGAGACACGGCCCAGACUCCGACGGGAGGCAGCAGUGGGGAAUAUUGGACAAGGGGCGAAAGCCUGAUCAAGCAAUGCCGGGUGAGUGAUGAAGGCCUUAGGGUUGUAAAGCUCUUUUAGCCGGGAAGAUAAUGACGGUACCGGGAGAAUAAGCCCCGGCUAACUACGUG